CAAAAUGAAUAUCCUAAUCCUGAAGAAGUAACGAGCAAUUUGGUAAAAUAAAUUUGUCGUAAUCUUUUACGGUUGCGAAGGAGUAGUGGCCACAAGAAAAACAGUGUUUGGGGAGAUAACUCUUACAACGUAAAGUAUUUUGUUACGCAGUUGUCAUUUUUUAAAGCGUAUAAACUAUACGAUAUCAUAUUCCAAAUAUCUAAGCGACAUCUUUUGAAACAACAAAUACUACGCAAGAAAAAAAUU
rnacentral:lncRNA from 1 species